rnacentral:lncRNA from 1 species
GAUAGAUGAUUACAAAAUCAUAAAAUGACUUAUGAGAGCUCUAAUUUAAUCUAUUGAAAUUAAAAAUUCAUCAAAUUAUCAAUGCAGCAAUCUAUUUUAUGUUUUUAAAUAAGAGAAGAUUAAUAGUAAUAACAUCUUACUGUUCUAUCUUCUUUUAGUUUAAACAUUGGCAUUUGACUUAUUUUCUAAAUUAAACCACAAUCAAUAAUUUUUUCAAUAUACGUAGAUUUUUUUACUCUCAAAAAUAAUUAAAUACCACAAUAUCUUAUAAAUUAAAUGAUAUAUACACUUGUUGCCUAUUGUACUAGUAUAUCAGUGUUUUAUUUGUAUCAUUUCAAAAAUUAGUAUCUAAGAACUUAGUUGGAUUAUGUCUUCAAACACUUCUUCUCUUUUAAAGAACCAACUCCAUGAAAACAAUCACAUUCUUAUUAUAAGAGAAGACAAAAGAGAAUAAAAUAAUAGCAAACAAACCAUAUAUAUUAAACUUCUCGCAAAAUAAUACUUACAAUUUGUGAAUCUAAUCAAGUAUUAUUAGAAUAUGGUCUACUUAUAUGCUUGGACUCAUGAGUAGCAAUGUAAAUACAUAUACACAUACACACACAUACACACAUAUAGUAAGAGAUUCCAUAUAUAAAGUUUAUUGUAACCAUUUUUGAUAAUUCAAUACAAAUAAUUUGUUCUAUAAUAAGACUUGGAUCAAGAAAAUUUGACAUAAAUUAUAAAUACUUAGCAACAAGAUUUGGUUGCACAUAAUCAACAAUCUCUAGUAAUGUGAAUAUCGUAGAAUAACAUGCUUUGAAAUUUGAAUCUUUCAAAUUCACUUUUUGGAUAGUAAGUCCUUCUAGAUAAAGUUACAUCAUUUUGGCAAUAGCGGCUAUAUCUUUAUAAGGUGGAAAAAAUAGAAUAAUCAUAUCUUAAUCUCUAUGAAGGCUAAUGUGACUUAGAUCAAACUAAAGAUAGCAUAGAAGUAGUAUAAACAUGAAACUUCUCUAAAUACCAUCCAUUUAUAUAUAAGAUUCU